rnacentral:rRNA from 1 species
AUACGUAGGGUGCAAGCGUUAAUCGGAAUUACUGGGCGUAAAGCGUGCGCAGGCGGUUCUGUAAGACAGUGGUGAAAUCCCCGGGCUCAACCUGGGAACUGCCAUUGUGACUGCAAGGCUGGAGUGCGGCAGAGGGGGAUGGAAUUCCGCGUGUAGCAGUGAAAUGCGUAGAUAUGCGGAGGAACACCGAUGGGGAAGGCAAUCCCCUGGGCCUGCACUGACGCUCAUGCACGAAAGCGGGGGGAGCAAACAGGAUUAGAUACCCUGGUAGUCCACGCCCUAAACGAUGUCAACUGGUUGUUGGGGAUUUAUUUUCUCAGUAACGAAGCUAACGCGUGAAGUUGACCGCCUGGGGAGUACGGCCGCAAGGUUAAAACUUAAAGGAAUUGGCGGGG